CAGUCGAACGGCAGCACGGGAGCAAUCCUNGUGGCGAGUGGCGAACGGGUGAGUAAUAUAUCGGAACGUGCCCAGUUGUGGGGGAUAGCCCGGCGAAAGCCGGAUUAAUACCGCAUACGACCUGAGGGUGAAAGCGGGGGAUCGCAAGACCUCGCGCAAUUGGAGCGGCCGAUAUCAGAUUAGCUAGUUGGUGGGGUAAAAGCCUACCAAGGCGACGAUCUGUAGCUGGUCUGAGAGGACGACCAGCCACACUGGGACUGAGACACGGCCCAGACUCCUACGGGAGGCAGCAGUGGGGAAUUUUGGACAAUGGGCGCAAGCCUGAUCCAGCCAUGCCGCGUGCGGGAAGAGGGCCUUCGGGUUGUAAACCGCCUUUGUCAGGGAAGAAAUGGUCUGAACUAAUACUUUGGACUAAUGACGGUACCUGAAGAAUAAGCACCGGCUAACUACGUGCCAGCAGCCGCG
rnacentral:rRNA from 1 species